CCUACUCAACUGGAAAGCCAGGGAGCACUUGUGCAGCAAGUCCCCAUCAUCAGUCGUCCUCAUGGACAAUCAUCUCCUGGAGCCGCCCAGACAGUACUAAGUUCAAUAAAACAAUGUUCAGCCGUAAGAUGCCGUCGCUGUCUAGUGAGGGUGGCAGUGCCUCCAAUUCCAAUAUCUAUCCAACAGAAAACUUGGCUUGAAGAUGCAUAGCUGAAGUCUCAUCAAGAAAGGAAAAGGUUAACCAGUGGGAGCCGCUGCCUCCCUUUCUCCUAUGAUCUGGAGACACUGAGAACAAGAAUGUCACGCUUCACAGGAACACCGGCAGGCCCGCCCUAAGUCUGACCGCAAUAUCUCUCACCCUC